GACGAACGCUGGCGGCGUGCUUAACACAUGCAAGUCGAACGAUGAAGCCGGAGCUUGCUCUGGUGAAUUAGUGGCGAACGGGUGAGUAACACGUGAGUAACCUGCCCUUGACUCUGGGAUAACUGCGGGAAACUGUAGCUAAUACCGGAUACGACCCUCGGAGGCAUCUCCUGGGGGUGGAAAGAAUUUCGGUCAAGGAUGGACUCGCGGCCUAUCAGCUAGUUGGUGAGGUAAAGGCUCACCAAGGCGACGACGGGGAGCCGGCCUGAGAGGGUGACCGGACACACUGGGACUGGGACACGGCCCAGACUCCUACGGGAGGCAGCAGUGGGGAAUAUUGCACAAUGGGCGCAAGCCUGAUGCAGCAACGCCGCGUGAGGGAUGACGGCCUUCGGGUUGUAAACCUCUUUUAGCAGGGAAGAAGCGAAAGUGACGGUACCUGCAGAAAAAGCACCGGCUAACUACGUGCCAGCCGCCGCAGUAA
rnacentral:rRNA from 1 species